GUGCUCACUUUGGCAGCACGUAUACUAAAAUAGGAACAAUACAGAGAAGAUUAUCAUGGCCUCUGCACAAGGAUGACACACAAAUUUGUGAAGUAUUUCAUAUUUUU
ensembl:snRNA U6 U6 spliceosomal RNA